ensembl:ncRNA lncRNA:CR45191 long non-coding RNA:CR45191
GAGGGAAAGGGCACCUUUACUCUUUUCAACACGGUUUCUGUAGCAGACCUACAGAAAUGGUAAUGAAAUUUCACCUUUUUUCAUUCUCUAGAAUCGGUCAUGUUUUAAACUAAUUACUUGAAGAAGAAUAAUGUUAGUACAUAUAAAAUGUUUCUUUCUCGUUAGUUCUUAAAUAUCUUAGGCUGCGUUUUAUAGGCUCUUUUCGCUGAGGUCCUGCGUCCUUCCGCUCCUUUCAGUGGCUCCGUGUUAAUAUUAUGAAAUUGAAUUGAUUUCCGAACUUUAUCAGAAUCAAACACAUGUGGGACUUUCAAUUUGCCAGGGCGAUGCCUUCAAUUCCUGGCAUCGUAAACUGCGCUUAUGUCUGGUCAUCACCUACCUACCACCCAGUACUCCCCGCUGCCAGGAUUCCCAUAUGCAAAGUGGGAAAGGAUAAUCGGGUGCAAUGGAGAAGGAGGCGGAGGAGGACAAGGUACAAAUCACACGCGAUCUCCUUGCGAUGCGGAAAGGAGCAGAGGAGUCCGCCAAGUCGCUAAGUCGUUUUAAUGGCCAAUAAAAGC